rnacentral:tRNA from 1 species
UCCGGGGUCGACGCUGCUGGUAGUGUUGCCUGCCUUUGAAGCAGGAGUCCGUAGGUUCGAUUCCUACCCCCGGAAC